AUUCAUAAUAGGUGGCGUUUCACACUAAAUUAAACGUCUUUGUGGCGUUCUCUAUCUCAUCCUCUUUGCUGAGUUGAAGCUUGCCAGCUUCACCUUCUUUGCUUGCCCGCUCUACCGACGAUGACUCUGCUACUCCGUAUAGUAGUGGGAUGCCAAGUGAUGGCUUGUUGCUUUGAAGAACACGACUCAAGUCAAGUUAGCUUUUCUUUGGUGUUGCAAUUUCCCCCAUUUUAUUCUACCUUUAUUAUAUAAAUUACCAUUUUUCCCAUUUUAUUCCAAUCUUUAUUACCACAUUUCUAAUCCGCAAGUUAGACUUACUACUCUGUCCUGAAACAUUCUCAUGUCAUAAUUAAUGGAGCCUAUUUAGUUUGUUA